rnacentral:rRNA from 1 species
UACAGAGGGUGCGAGCGUUAAUCGGAAUUACUGGGCGUAAAGCGUGCGCAGGCGGUGAUGUAAGACAGAUGCGAAAUCCCCGGGCUCAACCUGGGAACUGCAUUUGUGACUGCAUCGCUGGAGUGCGGCAGAGGGGGAUGGAAUUCCGCGUGUAGCAGUGAAAUGCGUAGAUAUGCGGAGGAACACCGAUGGCGAAGGCAAUCCCCUGGGCCUGCACUGACGCUCAUGCACGAAAGCGUGGGGAGCAAACAGG